rnacentral:rRNA from 1 species
GAGGAAUAUUGGUCAAUGGGAGCAAUCCUGAACCAGCAAUGCCGCGUGUGGGAUGAAGGCGCUUCGCGUCGUAAACCACUGUCGGACGGGACGAAAAGAGCUAUAAAGCUCCGAGACGGUACCGUCAAAGGAAGGAUCGGCUAACUACGUGCCAGCAGCCGCGGUAAUACGUAGGAUCCAAGCGUUGUCCGGAUUUACUGGGUAUAAAGGGUGCGUAGGCGGUCUUGUGCGUCAGAGGUGAAAUAUCCGGGCUUAACCCGGAGGGUGCCUUUGAUACGGCAGGACUUGAGUACGAGAGAGGAUGAUGGAAUUCCUGGUGUAGCGGUGAAAUGCGUAGAUAUCAGGAGGAACACCGGUGGCGAAGGCGGUCAUCUGGCUCGUAACUGACGCUGAGGCACGAAAGCGUGGGGAUCAAAC